CGCAGGGCCACUGAGGGCAGAUCUGCUAGCAUCUCUAAGAGAAAAUCUCUCCAGUGAGAAAAUCCCUCCAGUGAGCAGGGUUACUGCAGCAGAAGCACAUCGGAAUUUGUGGGCAAAUUCAUCUAAUGAAAGCAGUUAUGCCCAGUUAUUUAAGGUUUGUUACAUCGGCCCUGCUAGCUUGUGUUCUCCUCACAUCUUUACAAAUGGAUGAAGUGGGAAAAGCCAAAAAAGAAAUUAAAAUGAACAAGGACUCUUCAUUCCAAGACAGUCUUCAAAACGGACCCAUAUCUUCCCCUCACCCUCUGAACAGUGACAGAGAGGGAAUCCCCCAGUCAUCACUGCACAUGUUUACGCUGCUCCGCCAGGCUGGGCCUGAGACCCAAGCCAUUGCGAGAGCUGCGGAAGCUCAGGAAAUAGCUCUGCAGUCAUUAAAGGGGAAAGCAGCCAAACGGGUAAAGAAGGACCUGAAAUCAACAGAUGAUCCUACUUUAGAGGAAAUUGAGGCUAUUGCCAACCUGUCCGGCUGUCCUCCUCCAACGAAGUCAAAAAUUUGCCCCAACGGCUGUCUAUCUGAAAAGUACCGGACAAUUUCUGGAAUCUGCAAUAACAGACAUAAUCCAUUAUGGGGAGCAGCCAACACUGCAUUCUCACGGUGGCUCCCAGCAGAGUAUGAGGAUGAACAGGGUCAACCCAAGGGCUGGAACCCGGGGCACUUACACAAUGGCUUUCGCUUACCUCUCGUGCGGGAAGUCAGCAACAAAAUUAUGCAGAGAUCAAGCAAGCAUGUCUCGGAGGAUGAUGCAUAUUCCCAGAUGCUGGUGGACUGGGGCCAGUACAUCGACCAUGACAUUUCAUUCACUCCACAGUGUAUAGUCAAGGCUGCUUCUCUUGGAGGACCGGACUGUUUAGAAACCUGUGAAAACAUUAAUCCCUGCUUCCCGAUUAAGAUUCCCCGGAAUGACAAACUGUCUGGGAAAAGAAGCUGUCUGCCAUUCUUCCGCUCUUCUCCGGCCUGUCCUUCUCCGCACACGGAUGGUGAGGACCCCCCAGCGAGGCCACAGCGGCAGCAGAUGAACGCCAUCACGUCCUUCCUAGAUGCUUCCACGGUUUACGGUCACACGCCGGCCCUGGAGGGCCUGCUCCGUGACCUGUCCAGCGCGGAGGGCCUGCUCGCUGUCAACACCCGCUUCUCCGAUGGGGGCUUCCCAUACUUACCCUUUGUCCCCAGCAUCCCCUCGGGAUGCCUCCAGGAUCCGGGCGACCUGCGGGGGGAGAGGGUGGAGUGCUUUUUGGCGGGAGACAGCAGAGUCAGCGAGAUCCUGCCACUGUCUGCCCUGCACACGCUGUGGCUGAGGGAGCACAAUCGUAUCGCCGCCGGCCUGAAAGAGCUCAACGCUCACUGGAGCCAUGAGCAAACCUACCAAGAAGCCCGGAAAAUUGUCGGCGCUUUACAUCAGGUCAUAACUUUCAGGGAUUAUGCCCCAAAGAUCCUUGGAAGAGAGGCUUUUGAGAAAUACAUUGGGGUUUACGAAGGAUACGAUCGGUCCAUCAACCCCACGGUUUCCAACGUAUUUGCCACAGCUGCCUUUCGCUUUGGCCAUGCCACCAUUGCAGCGGUGGUGCUGAGGCUCAAUGAGAGCUUUCAGGAGCACGAGCGCCACUCCCCUGUGAGUCUACAUGAUACAUUCUUCAGUCCAUGGAGACUUGUUAAAGAAGGCGGACUGGAUCCUAUUCUUAGAGGACUGCUGGGAAGGCCAGCGAUCGCAGUGACAACAGACCACUUGAUGACAGAGGAGCUGACAGAGAGGCUAAUAGUUCUUUCAAGCCCUGGAGAUUUGGACCUCACAGCCCUUAAUUUGCAACGUGGCCGCGACCAUGGGCUCCCUGGCUACAAUAAAUGGAGGGAAUUCUGUGGAUAUGAAAGAAUACAGACCCAAGCUGAACUCAGCAGAGUUAUAAGUGAUGCUAGUUUGGUUCAGAAGAUAAUGGAGCUGUACCAACAUCCCAGGAACAUUGACGUGUGGCUGGCCGGACUGGUGGAGGACCUCUUGCCUGGUGCCAGGACAGGGCCGCUCUUUGCAUGUUUAAUUGGGAAGCAGCUGAAAAUGCUUCGAGAAGGUGACAGGUUCUGGUGGGAGAACGAGGGCAUGUUUACAGAUGCUCAGAGGGCAGAAAUCCAAAGGCACUCUCUUUCUCGGGUAAUUUGUGACAACAGUGGAUUGAACGAAGUCCCCACUGACCCCUUUAGAUUGAAACAAUACCCAAAAGACUUUCAGCCCUGUAAGAACUUACCCACCAUGAAUCUGAAGGCUUGGCAAGAAGAUCUCAGUAAAGAGCUGAUGCCCUGCGGUUCUCCCGCUGAGCUAGAAAAUGGGGAUUUUGUGUUUUGUUCCAUAUCUGGCAAAUUGGUGGCUGCUUACUCCUGUCGCCAUGGGUAUCGCCUGGAAGGCCAGGAGGAAAUUCUCUGCACGGAACGCGGCUGGAGCAGCCAACCUCCCAUCUGCAAAGGAGAUCGACCGCACAGUCAUUCAGUCUGUGAGGAGAAGGAUCUGAAGUGCUCUUCUUACUGAGAACCUCUUUAAAAUCUGCAUAAGGACCAGAAUGAAACCUUCAACUGGAAUCUCAAUUGCCUUGUGAUCUUGAGACACACAAUAUCUUAGCUGUGAUCAUGAAGCACACAGGAACCGGGAACUACGUAGAACAAUUACUUGGGAGUACUGCUCCACUUGCAGGUUUCCUACUUCUUGCAAGUCUUGGAGUCUGGGUUAAGUGGAACAAUAGGAAACUGUAGGAAAAAUUCAUGUCAAAAAUCAGUGAUUAGAAAUAACUAAAGCUCAAGACUGAGCCAGUUGUAUUAACCAGAAUGAAUUUAAAUAGCCUUAUGAAUGAAAUGCAGAUGAGUGUGGCCAUGGAGGCUGAGCACAGCAGCAGCAGAUACCUUUUCAGUUCAGAAGAUGUAAAUGUUUGACCACAUCCAGUAAUGUCCACACUAAGACCAUCUUUAACGGCAUCAAGACGUACAGUAUGUGACGUCUGAAAGAUUCCCCUGCACAUGGAUUCUGUGCAUAGCUGAUGCAACAGCUAUGAUGCAUAUCUCAACGGCUACUGUACUUCUUAAUCUAACAGUAAAAGUAGGUUUUCACUGUUUAUAUGU